GACGAACGCUGGCGGCGUGCCUAAUACAUGCAAGUUGAGCGCUGAAGGUUGGUACUUGUACCAACUGGAUGAGCAGCGAACGGGUGAGUAACGCGUGGGGAAUCUGCCUUUGAGCGGGGGACAACAUUUGGAAACGAAUGCUAAUACCGCAUAAAAACUUUAAACACAAGUUUUAAGUUUGAAAGAUGCAAUUGCAUCACUCAAAGAUGAUCCCGCGUUGUAUUAGCUAGUUGGUGAGGUAAAGUCUCACCAAGGCGAUGAUACAUAGCCGACCUGAGAGGGUGAUCGGCCACAUUGGGACUGAGACACGGCCCAAACUCCUACGGGAGGCAGCAGUAGGGAAUCUUCGGCAAUGGACGAAAGUCUGACCGAGCAACGCCGCGGGAGUGAAGAAGGUUUUCGGAUCGUAAAACUCUGUUGGUAGAGAAGAACGUUGGUGAGAGUGGAAAGCUCAUCAAGUGACGGUAACUACCCAGAAAGGGACGGCUAACUACGUG
rnacentral:rRNA from 1 species